UACGUAGGGACCAAGCGUUGUCCGGAAUCAUUGGGCGUAAAGAGCGUGUAGGCGGCCACGCAGGUCCGUUGUGAAAACUGGAGGCUCAACCUCCAGCUGUCGACGGAAACCGUGUGGCUAGAGUCCGGAAGAGGAGAGUGGAAUUCCUGGUGUAGCGGUGAAAUGCGCAGAUAUCAGGAAGAACACCAAUGGCGAAGGCAGCUCUCUGGGACGGUACUGACGCUGAGACGCGAAAGCGUGGGGAGCGAACAGG
rnacentral:rRNA from 1 species